GUGCCAUGCAUCUCUCUUAUCAAGUUAUUUCUGACAGCGGGGAAUUCAUUGACUGACUUGGCCUUGAUUGAUGAUCCAUCAACUCGUGGCUUUGCGCAGUGGGGAAUUUUCCGCAAUGGGCGAAAGCCUGACGGAGCAAUGCCGCGUGGAGGUGGAAGGCCCACGGGUCGUCAACUUCUUUUCUCGGAGAAGAAACAAUGACGGUAUCUGAGGAAUAAGCAUCGGUAGUCUCGCCCUGCUUCAAAACUACAGGGCGCA
rfam:Oryza glaberrima chromosome 5 Oglab05_0141_29, whole genome shotgun sequence.